AAACAUUCAUCCAUCCGUUCAUCCAACCCACCAGCUCACCAAACCCUAGGCUUUGCUCCUCACGUACCAGCACCACCUCCUUUGUUGUGUCUUCCUCCUCCCCCCGAAUCCCAGAUCCACCCAACCAGCCGGCGGCGGCCAACCCCCACCGAUGACCUAUUGGCCUUCGACCUCUGCCCCACUCCCGGCACACCCAACCCUCUCCUCUCCCCAGCCACCGAGUCCAACCUCCACAUCUCUAACCCGCACCCGAAACUCUAGCUCGUGCACAUGGCGACGAGGCCAGCCCGCCGCCGCUGCCAACGAGGAGGAGGAGCGAGAUGCCCGACCUGCCGUGCGACGGGGACGUGGUGUGCAUGGUGUGCCGCGCGGCGGCGCCGCCGGAGGUGGAGCUGCUGUGGUGCGCGACCUGCGCGACGCCGUGGCACUCCCCGUGCCUCUCGAAGCCCCCCGCACUCACCAAUGCGGCCGGCUGGGCCUGCCCCGACUGCAGCGGCGAGGGCGCGUCCCACUUGUCCGCCCCGGCGCCUGCCCCCACCGCAGCCCCCGGGGGCGCCGGCGGCGGGAGCGGCCUCCUCGCCACCAUCCGCGAGAUCGAGGCUGACGCCACCCUCUCCGAGCAGGACAAGGCGCGGCGCCGCCAGGAGCUGCUCGACGGGAAUAGCGCCGCCGCCGGCGGUGGGGACGACCACGACAACGAGGAACAGGACGAAGACGACGAGGACAACGCGCUCGAGAUCGGCGGCAAGAACUUCAGCUCCGUCUUCUGCAUGAAGCUCCCCGAUCGCCCUGUCACCAUGAGCACUGCUCAAUCCCCCCAUCCCCUCCCGUGUUCUCCGCCGUCAGUUUUGAUCAAAUUAA